AUUGAACGCUGGCGGCAGGCCUAACACAUGCAAGUCGAGCGGAGCGGGGACGGGUGAGUAACACGUGGGUAACCUCCCAUCAGAGGGGAAAACACUUGGAAACAGGUGCUAAACCGAUAAGGAUGGAUGGGCCCGCGGUGCAUUAGCUAGUGGGUGAGGUAAAGGCGAAGCAAGGCCACGAUGCAUAGCCGGCCUGAGAGGGUGAUCGGCCACACUGGGACUGAGACACGGCCCAGACUCCUACGGGAGGCAGCAGUAGUGAAUAUUCGGCAAUGGACGAAAGUCUGACCGAGCCACGCCGCGUGAGUGAAGAAGGUUUUCGGAUCGUAAAACUCUUUUGUUAGAGAAGCGGUAUCUAACCAGAAAGCCACGGCUAACUCCGUGCCAGCAGCCGCGGUAAUUC
rnacentral:rRNA from 1 species